GACGAACGCUGGCGGCGUGCUUAACACAUGCAAGUCGAACGGAAAGGCCCUGCUUUUGUGGGGUGCUCGAGUGGCGAACGGGUGAGUAACACGUGAGUAACCUGCCCUUGACUUUGGGAUAACUUCAGGAAACUGGGGCUAAUACCGGUUAGGAGCUCCUGCUGCAUGGUGGGGGUUGGAAAGUUUCGGCGGUUGGGGAUGGACUCGCGGCUUAUCAGCUUGUUGGUGGGGUAGUGGCUUAUCAAGGCUUUGACGGGUAGCCGGCCUGAGAGGGUGACCGGCCACAUUGGGACUGAGAUACGGCCCAGACUCCUACGGGAGGCAGCAGUGGGGAAUAUUGCACAAUGGGCGGAAGCCUGAUGCAGCAACGCCGCGUGCGGGAUGACGGCCUUCGGGUUGUAAACCGCUUUCGCCUGUGACGAAGCGUGAGUGACGGUAAUUGGUAAAGAAGCACCGGCUAACUACGUG
rnacentral:rRNA from 1 species